GCCAUGGUAGCUCACAUGGUAGAGCAUCUAACUCCUAAUUCAAUGGUUACAGGUUCAAUACCUGCCCAAGCCA